UUUAAAGGAUGGAGAGAACUUGAACAUCAGGCUCCAAGAUGUCCAAAGCAGGUCAUCAGGCAGAUGGGUUUCCACGGUGAUAGGAUUCCUGGCUGAUGACGACUGAAAAUCAGACGAGUCAUAUUUUCUAUUUGCUGCACCAGAGUCUGUUCUCAUCACAGGAACUCUGUAAGGAUUUGCGCUGAAAGAUUGACACGGAGGAUGAUGAACGCUACGAUACCGUGGGGGAAAGUGGCCAGGUAUGAGAGCGAGCGUCUGGUCUUUGUAAUGGAAAUGAACAAAAACUUUAACUCUGUGUCAGACUUUCU